rnacentral:rRNA from 1 species
AAAGGAAUAGACGGGGGCCCGCACAAGCAGUGGAGCGUGUGGUUUAAUUCGAAGCAACGCGCAGAACCUUACCAGGGCUUGACAUCCUCUGACUGCCGUGGAGACACGGAGUUCCGGGCUAUGCCUGGACAGAGAGACAGGUGCUGCAUGGUUGUCGUCAGCUCGUGUCGUGAGAUGUUGGGUUAAGUCCCGCAACGAGCGCAACCCCUGUCCUGUGUUGCUACCGGGUAGAGCCGAGCACUCACAGGAGACUGCCGGAGACAAUUCGGAGGAAGGUGGGGAUGACGUCAAAUCCUCAUGGCCCUUAUGUCCUGGGCUACACACGCGCUACAAUGGCCCGAACAACGGGUAGCGACACCGCGAGGUGAAGCCAAUCCCUCAAAUCGGGUCUCAGUUCGGAUUGCAGGCUGCAACUCGUCUGCAUGAAGCCGGAAUUGCUAGUAAUCGCGGAUCAGCCACGCCGCGGUGAAUACGUUCCCGGGCCUUGUACACACCGCCCGU